rnacentral:rRNA from 1 species
CCCUUAGAUGUCCGGGGCCGCACGCGCGCUACACUGAAGGAAUCAGCGUGGCUUUCUCCCUGACCCGAAAGGGUUGGGAAACCCGUUGAAUCUCCUUCGUGAUAGGGAUUGGGGCUUGAAAUUGUUCCCCAUGAACGAGGAAUUCCCAGUAAGCGCGAGUCAUAAGCUCGCGUUGAUUACGUCACUGCCCUUUGUACACACCGCCCGUCGCUACUACCGAUUGAACGGUUUAGUGAGGGCCUCGGAUUGGUCUCGGCCCGCUCUUUACCGGGCGGCGCCGUUGGUCGAGAAGACGCUCGAACUUGAUCGUUUAGAGGAAGUAAAAGUCGUAACA